UACGAAGGGGGGCUAGCGUUGCUCGGAAUCACUGGGCGUAAAGCGCACGUAGGCGGAUUGCUAAGUCAGGGGUGAAAUCCUGGAGCUCAACUCCAGAACUGCCUUUGAUACUGGCGACCUUGAGUCCGGGAGAGGUGAGUGGAACUGCGAGUGUAGAGGUGAAAAUUCGUAGAUAUUCGCAAGAACACCAGUGGCGAAGGCGGCUCACUGGCCCGGUACUGACGCUGAGGUGCGAAAGCGUGGGGAGCAAACAGGG
rnacentral:rRNA from 1 species